rnacentral:rRNA from 1 species
CAACAGCUAGAGUUUGAUCCUGGCUCAGGAUAAACGCUGGCGGCGCACAUAAGACAUGCAAGUCGAACGGACUUAACCAUUAGUUUACUAUUGGAGCGGUUAGUGGCGGACUGGUGAGUAACACGUAAGCAACCUGCCUAUCAGAGGGGAACAACAGUUAGAAAUGACUGCUAAUACCGCAUAUGCCUUAACCUUCGCAUGAAGGAAGAGGGAAAGGAGCAAUCCGCUGAUAGAUGGGCUUGCGUCUGAUUAGAUAGUUGGUGGGGUAACGGCCUACCAAGUCAACGAUCAGUAGCCGGACUGAGAGGUUGAACGGCCACAUUGGGACUGAGAUACGGCCCAGACUCCUACGGGAGGCAGCAGUCGGGAAUAUUGCGCAAUGGAGGAAACUCUGACGCAGUGACGCCGCGUGCAGGAAGAAGGUUUUCGGAUUGUAAACUGCUUUAGACAGGGAAGAAACAAGACAGUACCUGUAGAAUAAGCUCCGGCUAACUACGUGCC